CGAUAGGAUUUUCUCCCAGGUGCAAGUGUGGCUAAGGAUGAUACCAGAACCCUGGAGGCUUCAAACACUCUCCUUGUUUCAUUCUGUUCAGAAACAUGUCAACAUGAGGAAUGGCUGUGCCCACAUCUCAAGAAAUGACCUGUGGUUUAUAAUCCAGGUUCACCACAUCCCAACCACUCAACAGGCACCUGUGGCUAGAGGCUAAUGCAAUGGACAGCACGGGUGUAGACGUCAUCUUUAUGCAAAGCCACUGUAGGGCUAUAAUGAGGAAUGGGAUAUGAAGAUCACCCACGCUACUCCAUGGAUAAUGGAUUUGAUGGGAAAAAGUGGGAACAGGGAAAUCAGACAGGAGGAGAUCAUAGACUCUAAAGGAGACAUUAAGAAGUUUUAAGAGCCAGUGCACAAUUCUUUAUAUAUGUCCUUCUACUCACUAUCAUGAUUUUGAAAGCACAGAUCAAGAGGAAACCUCCAUCAGCUGGUGACAGCACAUGUUCUUUGCUGAAAUCUAUUAGACAUUUAGAGAGAGAGCACAAGCCGGGAGAGCACCAGACAGAGGAAGAAGCAGG